rnacentral:rRNA from 1 species
ACGGAGGCAGCAGUGGGGAAUAUUGGACAAUGGGGGAAACCCUGAUCCAGCGACGCCGCGUGAGUGAAGAAGUAUUUCGGUAUGUAAAGCUCUAUCAGCAAGAAAGAAAAUGACGGUACUUGACUAAGAAGCCCCGGCUAACUACGUGCCAGCAGCCGCGGUAAUACGUAGGGGGCAAGCGUUAUCCGGAUUUACUGGGUGUAAAGGGAGCGUAGACGGCGAUGCAAGUCUGAAGUGAAAGCCCGGGGCUCAACCCCGGAACUGCUUUGGAAACUGUAUAGCUAGAGUGCAGGAGAGGUAUGUGGAAUUCCUAGUGUAGCGGUGAAAUGCGUAGAUAUUAGGAGGAACACCAGUGGCGAAGGCGACAUACUGGACUGUAACUGACGUUGAGGCUCGAAGGCGUGGGGAGCAAACAGGAUUAGAUACCCUGGUA